CAGGUAGAGGGACAGGUAGAGAGAGAGACAAGUAGAGGGACAGGUAGAGGGACAGGUAGAGACGGUCUGAGUAGUUCUGUGUUGCUGCUGAGAGACGGACCGGUUGGACGUCUGGACCGGUUGGACGUCUGUUCUAUGUACAGGAGACGAGCAAACGCAUCAUCAGGAUAUGAAAAUAAAAACGAGCAGAGCUGGACGCCACCAAACGCCUACAAAAAUAAAUAAUAGGUAGAAAACAAAGAGAUGUCACCACAAACACAAAGGGGUCGUCAUGGCAACGCUGCACCAGGGACACACUCUGUCUCUCGCACACACACACAGAUAUUAACAAGACAAAAAGGUUUUCUUUUCUUUUUUAGUUUCUCUCUACUGAGGUGAAAAACAGAUUCUAUUCGUCUUAAUUAUCACAUUAAUCUUCAUCAUCGUCAUCAUAGCAGUGUGUGUCUGUGUGUGUCUGUGUGUGUCUGUGUGUAGAUAUAUAUAUAUAUAUAUAUGUGUGUGUGUAUAUGUGUGUGUGUGUGUG